rnacentral:rRNA from 1 species
ACACAUGCAAGCCGAGGGGGAUUACAUCUUCGGGAGAACACGACCGGCGCACGGGUGAGUAACGCGUAUGCAACCUACCUUUGGCACGGGGACAGCCCGGGGAAACCCGGAUUAAUACCCGGUAUAGUCUGUUAUACACCUGUAUAAAAGACGAGAGCUACGGCGGCCAAAGAUGGGCAUGCGUGCCAUUAGUUAGUUGGUAGGGUAACGGCCUACCAAGGCAUCGAUGGCUACGGGGUCUAAAAGGAUGAGCCCGCACACUGGUACUGAGACACGGACCAGACUCCUACGGGAGGCAGCAGUGAGGAAUAUUGGUCAAUGGGUGGAAGCCUGAACCAGCCAUGCCGCGUGCAGGAAGACGGCCUUAUGGGUUGUAAACUGCUUUUCUACGGGACGAACGGCUCUGACGCGUCAGGGAUUGACGGUACCGUAGGAAUAAGCAUCGGCUAACUCCGUGCCAGCAGCCGCGGUAAUACGGAGGAUGCGAGCGUUAUCCGGAUUUAUUAGGUUUAAAGGGUGCGUAGGCUGGGCAAUAAGUCAGUGGUGAAAGUCCGCGGCUCAACCGUGGGAUUGCCAUUGAAACUGUUGUUCUUGAGUACAGUCGAGGUAGGCGGAAUGUGUAAUGUAGCGGUGAAAUGCAUAGAUAUUACCCAGAACACCGAUUGCGUAGGCAGCUUACCAGCCUGGAACUGACGCUGAUGCACGAAAGCGUGGGGAGCGAACAGGAUUAGAUACCCUGGUAGUCCACGCCGUGAACGAUGAUCAACUCGCUGUUGGCAAUAUUAGAGUCAGCGGCUG